CAGCAGCCGCGGUAACACGAAGGGUGCAAGCGUUACUCGGAAUUACUGGGCGUAAAGCGUGCGUAGGUGGUGGUUUAAGUCCGUUGUGAAAGCCCUGGGCUCAACCUGGGAAUUGCAGUGGAUACUGGGUCACUAGAGUGUGGUAGAGGAUAGUGGAAUUUCCGGUGUAGCAGUGAAAUGCGUAGAGAUCGGAAGGAACAUCUGUGGCGAAGGCGACUAUCUGGGCCAACACUGACACUGAGGCACGAAAGCGUGGGGAGCAAACAGGAUUAGAUACCCGGGUAGUCCUGUCUCUUAUACA
rnacentral:rRNA from 1 species